CUGUAGUUCAACGGAUAGAACUACGGACUCCUAAGCCGUAAAUAUAGGUUCGACUCCUAUCAGGGG
rnacentral:tRNA from 1 species